rnacentral:misc_RNA from 1 species
AUGGGACAGGCCACUCCUUCUGUUCA